GGUCACGGUAGCCUAGUGGAAAGGUUUUGGUUUUAGGGCCGAAGGGUUUCAGGUUCGAAACCUGAUUCCA